rnacentral:tRNA from 1 species
GGGUUGCGCCGAGUGGUUAAGGGCGUUGGACUUAAGUUCCAAUGGACAAGUGACCGCCGUGGGGUUCGAACCCCACACCCA